GGAUGAAGACACUUUGCUUCCAAGCCUGAUGACUAAGUUUGUCCCUGGAACCUACUCAGCAGAAAGAGAUCCAACUCGUAAAAGAUCUCCUAAACGUACACAGGUGCUCUGCAUUGUACAUGCAUGUGAGCAAGCACACACACACACACACACACACACACACACACACACGGGGGGGGGCUAUAAAUGCUCACAAAACACAUAUACAAUAAAUGUCAUAUAUUUUUAAAUAUUUAUUUAAAAAAUUAAUCUCUCCUGUUUGAAAAGUCCAAACUGGAACCAGCACUCUACUUGUCAGAUUCCUGGUGACUCCGCCUGCACUGGCCUACCCACUUAAUCUCUUCAGUUUAGCUUCAUAUCGUCUCUGACUCCAGGACAGCAGAGCAAUGCUUGAGGUGCUCACGUCAUAUCCAGCAUGUGCCAACUCUCUGAUGCGAGUUUUUAAAGUAUGUAUGCUCAAGUCUAAUACCCUUGAAGUUUCAAGUAUUUGUGAAGUACUGAUUUUCUCUUCUAAGAGGCAGUCUAUUUUAUCAUUGAACUUUUUCUCUGACAAGAAGAUCAUAUUCAGAUAGCUUAGGACAAACUUCUGUACCUCCUCCUCAGUGCAUCCGAGAGAGAGCAGCCUCUUUGAUGUUUGUAUAGUUUCUUUUGGUACAGUCCUUGGAAAGGUCUAAGAUUCUGGCUCCUGGACCACAUACCAGAAGCAGCAGGUCCUCUCUGACUAAGUUGAAAGUUGACUGUAAAAAUUCAAUGUUAAUUUUCACACGUUUGGUACUCUGAAUUAAGACGGAAGGAUUUUUACUAAUUACCUUCCAGACAAAAAUUUGUGGGAACGUUGUGACGUAAGGAUAUGCUGGUUUCCUGCAAAUAUUCAACCAUUUGUUUAUUCAAAUUCAGACUGUUGGAGAAGGUCCUGGGAGCACUGGUCAACAGUCGGCAGAGGCAUUUAUGAGUCAAGCCAACAGAGCAGAGGAACUUUAUGUUAUUCUCUAAGUUUAGGUUGUUAUUAGACAGAAAGAAGGAUUCAGGAGAACACUCCAAACUAUUUACAAUUUCAAGGUCUGAUGCCAUAAUCUCUCUCCACAGAUCCCACCGUUUUGAAAGACUUUCAGGAGUGCGUGUUAUGGCUCGUGGAUAUCUUGAUAUGAUGCUACCAAUCACUUUGUCACUUGCUCUUUGAAUAGAAGGAACAUCUUCAGCUCCUGCUCAUUCGUAAAACUCCAGGCUGUCCUCUGCCAUGUCGAGAUCAACUGGCAUUGAUGAGGGUGGUAAAGACUGUGAUCUCUUAGCUCUCUCCUCCUGUGGCCAUACCUCCCUGUCCCAUGUCUUCUUGUCAUGUUGGAUUCUUACUCUCUACAAUGAACCCAAAGACCAUCAGGAGCCAAUUCUGAAGCAAACACAUAAGCAACUUUAUUACAAGUUUGGGAGCAAGGACUUUCACCAUCAUCUUUGUGGAGGAGGGUCAGAAGUGAGAGCUCUAGUCUAGGGGUUCAAGGAACUCAGGACUGAGAGCAUGCCAGGGAACUCACUGAACAUAGCCUUCCAGAGAAACUCUUGAACAUACCUAUGAGAAUAUGCAUCCAACGAGGUCCAAGGCAACUUCCUUUGUAAUAACAAAACAAAAGGAAAAUAAACGCAAAUGUUCAUGAAAAACAGAUUGGAAGAGGCCAAAUAUAAAGGUGGAAGUCAAGAGGUGAACUGAGAGAUGUAAACUGGCCUAGUCCACUGAGAAGAUCAAAGAGAAGAAAUUGAAG
ensembl:lncRNA